rnacentral:misc_RNA from 1 species
UGGUUCUGGCAUCGAUGAAGAACGCAGCGAAAUGCGAUAAGUAAUGUGAAUUGCAGAAUUCAGUGAAUCAUCGAAUCUUUGAACGCACAUUGCGCCCUUUGGCAUUCCGAAGGGCAUGCCCGUCCGAGCGUCAUUAUCACCCCUCGAGCCCGGCUCGGUAUUGGGCGCCGCGUCCACCGCGCGCCUCAAAGUCGCCGGCCGUGUGGUCCGUCCCCGAGCGUUGUGGCAUCUGUCCGCUCCGGGUGGUCGGGCGACGCGCGCCGUUAAACCCUCCAUUAGGUUGACCUCGGAUCGGGUAGGGAUACCCGCUGA